rnacentral:sRNA from 1 species
GACGACUCUGAUACGGAGCGGACCGUGG